CAGCAGCCACGGUAAUACGAAGGGGGCUAGCGUUGUUCGGAUUUACUGGGCGUAAAGGGCGCGUAGGCGGGCGAAUAAGUCAGGGGUGAAAUCCCAAGGCUCAACCUUGGAACUGCCUUUGAUACUGUUUGUCUUGAGUCCGGGAGAGGUGAGUGGAACUGCGAGUGUAGAGGUGAAAUUCGUAGAUAUUCGCAAGAACACCAGUGGCGAAGGCGGCUCACUGGCCCGGAACUGACGCUGAGGCACGAAAGCGUGGGGAGCAAACAGGAUUAGAUACCCCUGUAGUCCCUGUCUCUUAUAC
rnacentral:rRNA from 1 species